GUAACAGUUCGCUGUUACGUCAACUAAAAUUGGAACGAUACAGAGAAGAUUAGCAUGGCAUUAUAUGAUUUUAUGACAUUAUAUGACAUUUAAGAGUGUUGU